GACGAACGCUGGCGGCGUGCUUAACACAUGCAAGUCGAACGGAAAGGCCCUGCUUUUGUGGGGGGCUCGAGUGGCGAACGGGUGAGUAACCCGUGAGUAACCUGCCCUUGACUUUGGGAUAACUUCAGGAAACUGGGGCAAAUACCGGAGAGGAACUCCUGCGGCAUGGUGGGGGUUGGUAAGUUUCGGCGGUUGGGGGUGGACUCGCGGCUUAUUAGCUUGUUGGUGGGGGAGUGGAUUACCAAGGCUUAGGCGGGUAGCCGGCCUGGGGGGGUGACUGGCGACAUUGGGACUGGGAUACGGCCCAGACUCCUACGGGAGGCAGCAGUGGGGAAGAUUGCACAAUGGGCGGAAGCCUGAUGCAGCAACGCCGCGUGCGGGAGGACGGCCUUCGGGUUGUAAACCGCUUUCGCCUGUGACGAAGCGUGAGUGACGGUAAUGGGUAAAGAAGCACCGGCUAACUACGUG
rnacentral:rRNA from 1 species